UUUCUACUGCAGCAAAACCUCCGUGUGGCAAUCUAAUGUCACUGCACUGGGCAAGUAGACCUUAGUUUGGUUCUAAAACACCGCCAAGCACUGGAAGCUCUGCGCUGAGCUCUGCUGUGGGAGGUCCAACUGACCAUGAAACCAGUCAACUAGAAGCUACUAGCGGGUUUCCACCUAGUUGGUUGGAUUGGAGAACGUUUCAUGAAGAAGGUAGCAUUUGUACCAGAUCUUGCAAAGUUAACAUGAUUUCAACAGGUGCACAUUUAGAGGAUAGAAUAGUCCAGGCUCAGCAAAGGUGCCGCAGUUCCAGAAAGCAUAGCACAGGCCUUGCUGUAAGUGGUUUUCAGCCAUUACUACUGACAGUUUCUUUACCAUAUGUUCUGCCUUUUUCUUUUUGCAGGGAGGAGAGGGAUGGGGAUCAAAUGUAUCAGAAAGGAGCUAAAUCUGAUGCCUACUCAACGUGAAGACAAUGAGAAGCCCUUUGUGAUGAUCCACGUCCACCUAAUGAAUAACCAAGUCAUCUGACUCCAACCUAACUCUGGGAAACUGAGAAAUGGCUUCUGUGUGCUCAGGAAGAAGAAACAGAUGGGAUUGGUGAGCAUCUAGCCAAUUUCCACCACAAAUGCUCAUUUUGGCUGCCUCCAGGCCAAAGGUAAAAACUAAAAAGCCAGAGAAUACUAAAUGUUGGCCAAGAUGAGGAAAACAGAAACUCUCAUCCUCUGCUAGUUGGAAUGAAAAUUGAUGCAACGUCCCUGGAAAACAGUUUGGUAUUACCUAGCAAAGUAGAACCUGUGCCUCCCCUACAACCCAGCAAUUCCACUC
rnacentral:lncRNA from 1 species